GUCUUUAAAAUAACUGCCGUCUCGUUACAGAGUGAAAGUAGCAGUUCCUCCUUAAGGUCAGAGAUUGCAGCAUCUGAGGGCCUCUUGAAAAGAAGAUGUAGUUGAUGAAGGCGUUCUGGAGCAGGACCAGAAAGACCACGACCAAGCAGCCUUGAGAUCUUAGGCAGCGUCUCCCUCAGGUCUCUCUCUAUCUCCCCACACAUCCACCAACCACUGGAACACAUCUCCAAAGUUCUGCAGGGCCAGCUCAGCUUCCCCUCAGAAGAAGUGCUGCCACCUGCCAGAUGAAGGAGCCUUUUGAGAGGCAGCUGGCAUCGUGAUUGGACUGUUCUUUGUUCUGUUCCAAUCCAGCUUCAGCUCCAGAGACGGCAGGCGGGACGAGUCAACGGAGGCCGGGUGGACGAAGGCAUGCAGCUGAGUACAAUCUAGAAAACAAGAGAGGAGGAGUGCAGCAUUCCCAGGGCAGAACAAACAGAGUAGCAUGACCAAAGAACUACAGACUCUUCACAACCUGCUCAAACUCUUGGUACAGGACCUCACCACACGGGUCAAGAAGGUUUCCAUCUCAUUUCUACUCUGAAGCUCACCUUCUCCUGCUCAAACUGCUGACAAAUGUUUCUGCAGCUCAAAAGUCUGAUCUCCAGAACUUCCUAAAAACUCUCAAAGUCUCUUCUGCUGCAGGUUGCUUUGUAGAACUGUUCCAGAAAACCUCACUAAACCACAUGGAGGGGCCUCAAGAUAGUCGUCCAAAUGAAACCGUACAAAAACCAAACUAGCACAACCCAAACGCUAAAGUCUCCUGCAGCCUACCAGAGAAGCUCUGAGAACAGAGAAUCAGGACAGGAACUCUUACCUUCUGGACAACCAACGUUGGUUCUCAAACAAGAAUACACAAUGUGUCUGACCAAAAACCUCUGAAGACUCACUACAGCCAAGAUAAAGACACAACUCAGCUGCACCAAAUCCACUAAUCACUGCACACAUUAG